rnacentral:rRNA from 1 species
UACAGAGACUGCAAGCGUUAUUCGGAUUCACUGGGCGUAAGGGUGCGCAGGUGGCCAAGUGUGUUAGGCGUGAAAGCCCGGGGCUUAACCCCGGAAUUGCACCUAAAACUACUUGGCUAGAGCAUUGGAGAGGGGAGCAGAAUUCAUGGUGUAGCAGGUGAAAUGCGUAGAUAUCAUGAGGAAUACCAGAGGCGAAGGCGGCUCCCUGGACAAUUGCUGACACUCAGGCACGAAGCGUGGGGAGCAAACAGG